UACGUAGGGUGCGAGCGUUAAUCGGAAUUACUGGGCGUAAAGCGUGCGCAGGCGGUUCGUUGUGUCGGCGGGGAAAGCCCCGGGCUUAACCUGGGAAUGGCCGUUGAAACUGGCGAACUGGAGUGUGGCAGAGGGGGGUGGAAUUCCGCGUGUAGCAGUGAAAUGCGUAGAGAUGUGGAGGAAUACCGAUGGCGAAGGCAGCCUCCUGGGCCAACACUGACGCUCAUGCACGAAAGCGUGGGGAGCAAACAGG
rnacentral:rRNA from 1 species